rnacentral:rRNA from 1 species
UACGUAGGGGGCUAGCGUUGUCCGGAAUCAUUGGGCGUAAAGAGCGUGUAGGCGGUUCGGUAAGUCCGCUGUGAAAGUCGGGGGCUCAACCCUCGAAAGCCGGUGGAUACUGUCGGACUAGAGUACGGAAGAGGCGAGUGGAAUUCCUGGUGUAGCGGUGAAAUGCGCAGAUAUCAGGAGGAACACCGGUGGCGAAGGCGGGUCUCUGGGCCGAUACUGACGCUGAGGAGCGAAAGCGUGGGGAGCGAACAGG